AAUAAAUAAAUAAAUAAAUAAUGUUGUCUGAGGGGAUGUUCGAUUCUGGCCACAGGGGGGAACAGCUGCUUCAUCAUCCACUGUGACAGCACUUCCUCAUUCCAACGUCGUAAAUUAGUUAAAUUUGCCUCCCCACUUUAUAAGUGGUAGCUUAUUUCCUACUUGAUGUGGUGCUACAGUAGAGUCUCACUUAUCCAACAUAAACAGGCUGGCAGAAUGUUGGAUAAGCGAAUAUGUUGGAUAAUAAGGAGGGAUGAAGGAAAAGCCUAUUAAACAUCAAAUUAGGUAAAAUGGCGUCCUGUUUUGAGGCUUGGGAGGGCGGGGCCAGCCUUUUUGGCCUGCAAAUAGGUGGCAGAAGAGACACAGGCAAAAGCUGCUCUGUUUGGAACAGGGAAGAUGGCUGCCUCUUUUGCGGCCUAGCACAAUGGAGCCAGGCUGCAAGGCCUGAAACGUGUUAGCAAAAUGAUCAAAGGCGGCUUGGAUUGGGGCUUUGGGGGCUAGAAGUGUUCAUAAGCAUAUCAUUAAAACGAUAAUAACAAUGUUCUCUGCUGUCUUUUGAGGAAAGUAGGGCCUUACAAAGAAGUUGAAAGCUGAUGCAAGAUGGCGUCCCCUUUUGGGCCUAGCGGCAUGGGGCCAGCCUGGAAGGCCUUAAACAUGUCAGCAGAGGGGCCAAAGGGGGCCAUCUGUUGUCAGUGGGUUCAUGGAUCAUAGGGGUGAUGUGUGUCAAGUUUGGUCCAGGUCCGGCCUUCCUGGUGGUGGCAGUGGUGUUUUUUAUUACCAAAGUGUAGGCCGAAAGCUGUUAACUGUCCCAAAGCUAGCAUAGUUCUGAGGAGAUAAGUAGGCCGAACGAAGCCAGUUGGUAGUAGUUUUUCCCUCAGCAAUCCCAGUGGCCUGUGAAAGUGGCGGCCAAUCAGAGCUGGCCCAUAUUCCGACCGGCCAAUCAGAAAGCUGAUCCAUAUUCCGCCAGGCCAAUCAAAACGCUGAUACAUACUCCGAUUUCACUUUUAUUAUAGACUAGCUGUGCCCGGCCACGCGUUGCUGUGUCUGAGUCUGGUGGUGUUGGUCAGUCUACAUGAGGUUGUAUUGAUGCUGUGACCUCCACCUUCUUUAUACUCACAUUAGUAGUAGUAUUUGAAGUCUGUUACCUUCUUCAAUUUUUGUGUUGAUUGAUAAUUGCUUGAGAUCCCUGUUGUCUUUGGUUUGUUGUUAAUUGUAAUGUCUGAUUCUGCUGAGUGUGGUUUAUAUUUUUAUUGUGGUACAAUAGUCUUUUUUUGUUUUGCCUGUGUAGGUGUUUAUUAUUAUUAUUGUUGUUGUUGUGGUCAUGAAGGUUGGAUAAGUUAGAUGCUACUGUAUUGUUUUUUGGAGGCCCAGUGUAGCACUGACUGGCCUCUCAGCCUCAGUGCCUGGCUGUUUCUUGCCUGUGAUGGUGUUGAUUCUUAUUGUUGUUGUUGUUGUUGUCAUUGUUAUUAUUGUAAUUGUUUUUUUGGAGGCCAAGUGUGAAUGUAGGGAUUGGGGAGGUGGAUGAGUUGUGUUGUUAAAUUUUAUAUUUGUUAUUGUCACAAUGUGUUGUUGUGAGUUUUGUGGGUCCGGAUUGUGGUUUUGUGGUGUGGUUGUGUUGUUGUUGUUGUGUUAUGUUGCCAAGUUUCGUAUUUCUGGGGCAUUUAGUUGUGUUGUUAUAGUCAUGAUGCGUUGUUGUGAGUUUUGUGGGUCCGGUGUGGUUUUGUGGUGUGGUUGUGUUCUUACAACCGGGAGGCAAGGCUUUUGCAUUGUUUUGCCAAGUUUUGUAUUUCUGGGGCGUUUAGUUGUGUUGUUAUAGUCAUGAUGCGUUGUUGUGAGUUUUGUGGGUCCGGAUUGUGGUUUUGUGUUGUGGUUGUGUUCUUACAACUGGGAGGCAAGGCUUUUGCGUUGUGUUGUCAAAUUUUGUAUUUCUGGAGCGUUUAGUUGCGUUAUAGUCAUGAUGCGUUGUUGUGAGUUUUGUGGGUCCGGAUUGUGGUUUUGUGGUGUGGUUGUGUUGUUACAACCGGGAGGCAAGGUUUUUGUGUUGUGUUGUCAAGUUUUAUAUUUCUGGGGCAUUUAGUUGUGUUGUUAUAGUCACAAUGCAUUGUUGUGAGUUUUGUGGGUCCGGAUUGUGGUUUUGUGGUGUGGUUGUGUUGUUACAAUCGGGAGGGAAGGCUUUUGCAUUGUGUUGCCAAGUUUCGUAUUUCUGGGGCGUUUAGUUGUGUUGUUACAGUCACAAUGCGUUGUUGUGAGUUUUGUGGGUCCUGUGUGGUUUUGUGGUGUGGUUGUGUUGUUACAACUGGGAGGCAAGGCUUUUGCAUUGUGUUGCCAAGUUUUGUAUUUCUGGGGCGUUUAGUUGUGUUGUUAUCGCAUGAUGCGUUGUUGUGAGUUUUGUGGGUCUGGAUUGUGGUUUUGUGGUGUGGUUGUGUUGUUGUAACCUGGAGGCAAGCCUUUUGCAUUCUGUUGCCAAAUUUCGUAUUUCUGGGAUGUUUAGUUUUGUUGUUAUAGUCACUGCGCAAACAACUUUAUCAUUUUAUAUAUAUAGACUAGCUGUGCCCAGCCACGCGUUGCUGUGGCGAAGUCUGGUGGUCUGGGAAAUAAAGUAUUGAGGAAUUGGUGGUAGUUAAGGUCAAGGGUAAAGGUUUUCCCCAGACAUUAAGUCCAGUCGUGUCUUACUCUUGGGGUUGGGGCUCAUCUCCAUUUCUAAGCCGAAGAGCCGGCGUUGUCCGUAGACUCCUCCAAGGUCAUGUGGGAUGACUACAUGGAGCGGUGUUACCUUCCCACCGGAGCAGUACCUAUUGAUGCACUCACAUUUGCAUGUUUUCGAACUUCUGGGUUGGCAGAAGCUGGAGCUAACAGUGGGGGCUCUCUCCGCUCCCCCAAUUCAAAUCUGUGGCCUUUCGGUCCAGAAGUUCAGCAGCUCAGCGCUUUAACACGCUGCGCCAUCAGGGGAUAUUAUUUCCUAAAGGUUGUGAAUAUACAAUAUUUCUGAUUGGUUUUUUUUGUUUGUUGGAGGCAAGUAUGAAUGCUGCAAUUAGGAAAAAUGAUUAGGAUGUAAUGGCCUUGCAGCUUUAAAGCCUGGCUGUUUCCUCCCUGAGUGAAUUUUUUGUUGGGAGGUGUUAGCUGGCCCUGAUUGUUUCUUGUCUGGAAUUCCUUUGUUUUCAGAGUGGUGUUGUUUGCGAUAUUUUAUGUGCUUCUACUGUCUGUGACCCUGAGAAAACAGAGGAUUUGCCAGACUUUGAUGAUGGGAAUACUUUGUUGGGAGGUGUUAGCUGGCCCUGAUUGUUUCCUGUGUGAAAUUCCCCUGUUUAUUUACUGUCCUGGUUUUAGAGAUUAUAUUGUUCUGCAUUAUUCUAUCCCAGUAAUUAUUUCAUAUUAAAGAAGAAUCUUACUUAUCCAA